AAUUAGUUAGAGGUGAAGUCUCUGUUAGUAUCUUUGUUACAAUUGGUUAAAUGUUAGUUAGGAUUCAGUUAGAUUAGUUUGAAGCUAUUAGAGUGAGUUUGAUGUUAGUGAAAUGUAACUUCUAUGUUGCAGUUAGCAAAUCAAACACAUGAAAUGAGCAUAAAGCUAGAGCCUUAACCAGGACCAAAUCAAAGGCUCUCCAUUUGAAUUAUCUUCAAUGGCGGAAUCAUGUUGAGCAUAAGGCUUGGGCUUGACAUGGAUCGAAGAUGUGGAUCACGAAGAGAUGAACAAGACAAGACAUAUGGAGGAACCUUGAAGUCCAAGAAUGCACAAAGUUGACAUGUCUUUAGGAUGAAUAAAAUGAGGGAUUUAGGUUUAGGAUUAGACAAUUGACUUUGGUCAACUGGUUGAAAAAAAAGUCUAUAGUUUACGAGAAUUAACUAUAGGUCCCAAUUUAGUAAUUUGUGCAAAGUUUGUAACUUGGAUCUUGAAUAUUAUAAUGAAACAUCUGAUGUAAUGUAAUUGGAAAUCUUGAAAUGAAAAAGGAUUUUGAAUCCCAAACAACAAAGCUUUCCCUCCAAAACUGAGGAAAUGAUCAUU